rnacentral:rRNA from 1 species
UACGUAGGGUCCGAGCGUUGUCCGGAAUUAUUGGGCGUAAAGGGCUCGUAGGCGGUCCGUCGCGUCGGGAGUGAAAACUCGGAGCUUAACUCCGAGCCUGCUUCCGAUACGGGCAGACUAGAGGUAGGUAGGGGAGAGCGGAACUCCUGGUGUAGCGGUGGAAAUGCGCAGAUAUCAGGAAGAACACCGGUGGCGAAGGCGGUCUC